GCAAUGGUGGCUCAGUGGUAGAAUUCUUGCCUUCUAUGCAGGAGAUCCAGAUUUGAUUCCCAGCCAAUGCA
rnacentral:tRNA from 1 species